AGGACCAUCUGGCCACAUAAACAGUAGUAGACAUGGAGGGGCUUCUCGCCAUCAUCAUAUUCCUCGCGGUUCCGGGUGUCUGAGCAGACCACCGACCGCGACACGACUUUCGGCAUAGCUCCGGCAGAGCAGCCAGAAAACUCCCAGAAAAUGAAGAGUCGCGCCGAGAUGGCGUCACAGACACUCCGGCAUGAGUCGCCUUAGCAAGAAGAGGAUGUUGAAGAUGAGAGUGAAGGACCAGAAUGGUUCUCUACAAACCUGAGGAACUCGCCUUGCAGAUGGGAGAGAGCCGAAAGAAGAGAGAGGCCAGCCAUCGCCACCUGGAGAUAGGGGAUAAGGGAGAGAAAGAAGGAGGGUUAGAGAGCAAGAAAGAACCAGAAGUGGAACUCUCAGCUACCUCUCCAGCACCAUGUCUGCCUGCGUGCCACCAUGCUUCUCUCCCUGGCAAUAAUGGACUAAACCUCAGAAACAGAGAAACAUCACUAGCAGCAGACCCACGAAAGUAACUCCUUUCUGUGGCAUCAAGAUCAAUGAGGAAUUUUGAUUGCUGCAUGUAACACCCUAAGUUCAUUGCAUUCACAAAGCCGAGUUGGCAUGAAAGAGGCAGCAAAAAGGCCAGCCUCUGAAGGGUCCUCUGCAGGACAUUAGAGUCCUGGGUUGGCUCCAAUUCUGCCAUUAACUAAUGCUGUGAGAAUGCCCUGCCCCCAUCCACUAGGCUUCAGUGUCCUCUGCUUUGAAGAAAAGUGACUGGACCAAAUGCAUGCCAAGAGCUGACCAGUUGCAGAAGCCAGCUAUUGUGCAAUCCUAGAUAAAGUGCAGUGCCCACAGAGGCCAGAAGAGGGCAUCAGAUCCCCUGGAACUGGAGUUAACUAAUGGCUGGAAGCCACCAUGUGGAUGCUAGGAACUGAACCCAGGUCCUCAGCAAGAGCAACAGUGCACUUAACCUCCGUGCCAUCUCUCAAGAAUCCUGGAAUUGAGACACUCACCUAGGAUCUAUGGUGUAUUGGUCAAGUGAAAGGUACCAUCGAGAUUGGAACUAUAGAAGGGUACUUCAGACUUCCUGAAGAGAUAAUGAGAGAUUGAGUCUUGUGAAUAUCUGAGAAUUCCAGCUAGAGGAGAAAGCUCCAAGCCCAGUAAAGGAGACUUGCCAAGACCAAGAUUUGGGGUAGAGAAAAUUGAGACUGCAACAUCUUAAAUGACUGGAUAUUUUCUCCAAAAUUAUCACCUGUAACUUGGGAGACCUCUAGUUGAACCCUAGAAAUGAAAACCAUAAUGGCUACAUGUGGCAGCUAACCACGCAGUUCUGGAGUUAGCCAGGUUCCUGCACUGAUGUCCCUGGAAGAUGGUCUACCAGCUGUAAAAUGAAAUAAACCAUUUCCUCCCCAGGUU
rnacentral:lncRNA from 1 species